UCAGAUUGAACGCUGGCGGCAGGCCUAACACAUGCAAGUCGAGCGGUAACAUUUCCAGCUUGCUGGAAGAUGACGAGCGGCGGACGGGUGAGUAAUGCUUGGGGAUCUGCCUGAUGGCGGGGGACAACCACUGGAAACGGUGGCUAAUACCGCAUAAUGUUUACGGACCAAAGUGUGGGACCUUCGGGCCACACGCCAUCAGAUGAACCCAAGUGAGAUUAGUUAGUUGGUAAGGUAACGGCUUACCAAGGCGACGAUCUCUAGCUGGUCUGAGAGGAUGAUCAGCCACACUGGGACUGAGACACGGCCCAGACUCCUACGGGAGGCAGCAGUGGGGAAUAUUGGACAAUGGGGGCAACCCUGAUCCAGCCAUGCCGCGUGUGUGAAGAAGGCCUUCGGGUUGUAAAGCACUUUCAGUGGUGAGGAAGGUGGUGUCGUUAAUAGCGGCAUCAAUUGACGUUAGCCACAGAAGAAGCACCGGCUAACUCCGUGCCAGCAGCCGCGGUAAUACGGAGGGUGCGAGCGUUAAUCGGAAUUACUGGGCGUAAAGCGCACGUAGGCGGUAUGUUAAGCAAGAUGUGAAAGCCCAGAGCUCAACUCUGGAAUAGCAUUUUGAACUGGCAUGCUAGAGUUUUGGAGAGGGUGGUAGAAUUU
rnacentral:rRNA from 1 species